GACGAACGCUGGCGGCGUGCUUAACACAUGCAAGUCGAACGGAAAGGCCUUUUUCGGGGGGUACUCGAGUGGCGAACGGGUGAGUAACACGUGAGUAACCUGCCCUUGACUUUGGGAUAACUUCAGGAAACUGGGGCUAAUACCGGAUAGGAGCUCCUGCUGCAUGGUGGGGGUUGGAAAGUUUCGGUGGGUGGGGGUGGAGUCGCGGCUUAUCAUCUUUUUGGUGGGGUAGUGGCUUACCAAGGCUUUGACGGGUAGCCCGCCUGGGAGGGGGAACGGGCACAAUGGGGCUGGGAAAAGGCCCAGACUCCUACGGGAGGCAGGAGGUGGGAAUAUUUCACAAUUGGUGGAAGGCUGAUUCAGCAACGGCGUGGUGAGGAAGACGGCCUUCGGGUUGGAAAACGUCUGCGAUCAUGGCGAAGCUGUGUGUGACGGUAGUGGGUAAAGAAGCACCGGCUAACUACGUG
rnacentral:rRNA from 1 species